UACGUAGGGGGCAAGCGUUAUCCGGAUUUACUGGGUGUAAAGGGAGCGUAGACGGCAUGGCAAGUCAGAUGUGAAAGCCCGGGGCUCAACCCCGGGACUGCAUUUGAAACUGUCAGGCUGGAGUGCAGGAGAGGUAAGCGGAAUUCCUAGUGUAGCGGUGAAAUGCGUAGAUAUUAGGAGGAACACCAGUGGCGAAGGCGACUUACUGGACUGUAACUGACGUUGAGGCUCGAAAGCGUGGGGAGCAAACAGG
rnacentral:rRNA from 1 species